UACAAUGGAGAGUUUGAUCCUGGCUCAGGAUGAACGCUAGCGGCAGGCCUAAUACAUGCAAGUCGAACGGAUGUAGCAAUACAUUAGUGGCGCACGGGUGCGUAACGCGUAACCAACCUACCUGGAUCUGGGGGAUAGCCCGCCGAAAGGCGGAUUAAUACCGCAUAACACUGCAGAGCGGCAUCGCUGAACAGUUAAAGAUUUAUUGGAUUCAGAUGGGGUUGCGUGACAUUAGCUAGUUGGCGGGGUAACGGCCCACCAAGGCGACGAUGUCUAGGGGACCUGAGAGGGUGAUCCCCCACACUGGCACUGAGAUACGGGCCAGACUCCUACGGGAGGCAGCAGUAGGGAAUAUUGGGCAAUGGGCGAGAGCCUGACCCAGCCAUGCCGCGUGCCGGAUGAAGGCCUUCUGGGUUGUAAACGGCUUUUCUCAGGGAAGAAAAAGGUGAUGCGUCACAAACUGACGGUACCUGAGGAAUAAGCACCGGCUAACUCCGUGCCAGCAGCCGCGGUAAUACGGAGGGUGCAAGCGUUGUCCGGAUUUAUUGGGUUUAAAGGGUGCGUAGGUGGCCCUAUAAGUCCGUGGUGAAAGCCUGCUGCUCAACAGCAGAACUGCCAUGGAUACUGUAGGGCUUGAGUCCAGACGAGGUUGGCGGAAUGGAAGAUGUAGCGGUGAAAUGCAUAGAUAUCUUCCAGAACCCCGAUUGCGUAGGCAGCUGACUAGGCUGGUACUGACACUGAGGCACGAAAGCGUGGGGAGCGAACAGGAUUAGAUACCCUGGUAGUCCACGCCGUAAACGAUGGAUACUCGUUGCUAGCGAUACACAGUUAGUGACUUAGCGAAAGCGUUAAGUAUCCCACCUGGGGAGUACGCUCGCAAGAGUG
rnacentral:rRNA from 1 species